rnacentral:pre_miRNA from 1 species
CUAGUACUCCAUCCGUUCCGAAUUACUUGUCGCGGGUAUGGAUAUAUCUAGAUAUAUUUUAGUUUUAGAUACAUUUAUUUUUAUGACGAGUAAUUUGGAAUGGAGGGAGUGCGUC